AGAUAUUUCCUUUCUCUUUUUGAAAAUCCUCUGUAUAAUCCUAUCUCUGUCUUAACUACCUUUCCCGUCCCACUUCUCUCUCCGCUUCAAUUUUCGUCAGCACCAACAAAAAAAAAAUCAAUCAGCAAACGAUGAGUUACUACAAUCAGCAACAGCCUCCGGUUGGCGUUCCUCCUCCUCAAGGUUAUCCACCAGAAGGAUAUCCUCCAAAGGAUGCUUAUCCACCACCGGGUAUCCUCCGCAAGGAUACCCUCCUCAAUAUGCUCAGCCACCGCCUCAGAAAAAUCAGAGUUCCGGUUGCCUAGAAGGCUGUUUGGCUGCUCUUUGCUAUUGCUGUCUUCUGGAUGUUUGCUUUUGACCCAGCUUAGGAAAAUCUUGAAUUCCAAUAUUAUUUUUCCAGACUUCAUCUUUAUAUCUUCUUUUUAGUUAUUUUCUUUAAUAAUUGAACCACUGCUUAGAUUUCAACCUUAUGUUUUAUAGUAAUA